AAAAAAGUAUUGACGGAAAAAAGUAGGAUUGCAGAUACCUUUACAGAGAGCUGAUGGUCGGUGGAAAUCAGCAAGUGAUGCAAUGUGAAGUUCUUUCCUGAACUGCGAAGCUGAACACAAAAGUAGGCUGAGCCGGCGUGGCUGUCGUUAAUGUGGCUAUGAGUUGAUCUGAUUCGAGAUUAUUAGGGUGGUACCGCGGAGAUUUCCGUCCCUUGC
rnacentral:ncRNA from 1 species